AGCCUAAUGAAGUUCAAACCAAGCAUCAGGAAAAAAAGGACCCAGUGACCUUCCUAUAAUGUGGUGAGUAAACACUGUUUGGCUGCAGCCUGGUAUCUGCACAGUAUUUUGAUCACGCUCCUGUGAUAUGGAACACCUGUGGACGACUACUGAAGAAGAGACUUGUCAAGCAUGCUGAGAAGCAGUGCAGCCUCUACAUACCAAUGGCUUGAAGGACAAACAACAUAUUGAGAGUUGAGAACAGGAAGAAGAGUUGCAGUCAUACAUGCCUCUCUGCCGCUGAUCUUCUCCUGUCAUUGACCCAAAGACUACUCACAGAGACUGUGUCUGCUCCUGCACCAUCAAAAGAAACAAAAUAUCAGCAA
ensembl:lncRNA